GGCACUAUGGCCGAGUGGUUAAGGCGAAAGAUUAGAAAUCUUUUGGGCUCUGCCUGCGCAGGUUCGAGUCCUGCUGGUGUCG
rnacentral:tRNA from 1 species